rnacentral:rRNA from 1 species
CCUACGGGAGGCAGCAGUGGGGAAUAUUGGGCAAUGGGCGCAAGCCUGACCCAGCAACGCCGCGUGAAGGAAGAAGGCUUUCGGGUUGUAAACUUCUUUUCUGAGGGACGAAGAAAGUGACGGUACCUCAGGAAUAAGCCACGGCUAACUACGUGCCAGCAGCCGCGGUAAUACGUAGGUGGCAAGCGUUAUCCGGAUUUAUUGGGUGUAAAGGGCGUGUAGGCGGGAAAGCAAGUCAGAUGUGAAAACUCAGGGCUCAACCCUGAGCCUGCAUUUGAAACUGUUUUUCUUGAGUGCUGGAGAGGCAAUCGGAAUUCCGUGUGUAGCGGUGAAAUGCGUAGAUAUACGGAGGAACACCAGUGGCGAAGGCGGAUUGCUGGACAGUAACUGACACUGAGGCUCGAAAGUGUGGGUAUCAAACAGGAUUAGAUACCCCAGUAGUC